rnacentral:rRNA from 1 species
AGCGAACGCUGGCGGCAGGCUUAACACAUGCAAGUCGAGCGGGCACUUUCGGGUGUCAGCGGCGGACGGGUGAGUAACGCGUGGGAACGUGCCCUCUGGUUCGGAAUAACUCAGGGAAACUUGAGCUAAUACCGGAUACGCCCUUUUGGGGAAAGGCUUGCUGCCGGAGGAUCGGCCCGCGUCUGAUUAGCUAGUUGGUGAGGUAACGGCUCACCAAGGCGACGAUCAGUAGCUGGUCUGAGAGGAUGAUCAGCCACACUGGGACUGAGACACGGCCCAGACUCCUACGGGAGGCAGCAGUGGGGAAUAUUGGACAAUGGGCGCAAGCCUGAUCCAGCCAUGCCGCGUGAGUGAUGAAGGCCUUAGGGUUGUAAAGCUCUUUUAUCCGGGACGAUAAUAACGGUACCGGAGGAAUAAGCCCCGGCUAACUUCGUG